rnacentral:rRNA from 1 species
GAUGAACGCUGUCUACAGGCUUAACACAUGCAAGUCGAGGGGAAACGACGGGGAAGCUUGCUUCCCCGGGCGUCGACCGGCGCACGGGUGAGUAACGCGUAUCCAACCUGCCUCUGACUGAGGGAUAACCCGUCGAAAGUCGGCCUAAUACCUCAUGGCAUCGUCUGCGGGCAUCCAACGACGAUUAAAGAUUUCAUCGGUCAGGGAUGGGGAUGCGUCUGAUUAGCUUGUUGGCGGGGUAACGGCCCACCAAGGCUACGAUCAGUAGGGGUUCUGAGAGGAAGGUCCCCCACAUUGGAACUGAGACACGGUCCAAACUCCUACGGGAGGCAGCAGUGAGGAAUAUUGGUCAAUGGGCGGGAGCCUGAACCAGCCAAGUAGCGUGCAGGAUGACGGCCCUAUGGGUUGUAAACUGCUUUUAUGCGGGGAUAAAGUGAGGGACGUGUCCUUCAUUGCAGGUACCGCAUGAAUAAGGACCGGCUGAUUCCGUG